UAUGUAGGGUGCAAGCGUUGCCCGGAUUUAUUGGGCGUAAAGGGCUCGUAGGCGGUUUGUCGCGUCGGGAGUGAAAUCCACUGGCUUAACUGGUGGCUUGCUUUCGAUACGGGCAGACUGGAGGUAUGCAGGGGAGAACGGAAUUCCUGGUGUAGCGGUGAAAUGCGCAGAUAUCAGGAGGAACACCGGUGGCGAAGGCGGUUCUCUGGGCAUGUCCUGACGCUGGAGGAGCGAAAGCGUGGGGAGCGAACGGG
rnacentral:rRNA from 1 species